rnacentral:lncRNA from 1 species
CUCCUUCCUCACUAGCAGCCUUUGGUACAUCAGUUGGUGGUGGUUGUUGCAUGUGGUCCUUACCCCUUUUCUCAGGUUCCAUCGGGACAAUCACUGGACUAACUUGAGGUUCUGAGUUGUUAUCAACCUUCUCAGUUGGUGUUGGUAGCACGAGAACUUCAGAUGGUUGUGGAUCUACUGAUGCAUGAGGCAAUGAAACAGUUUCUUCAGUAGAUUGGGAAAACAGUGUCGCUUGCAUAAAUUGGCACCAGAACUUUCUUAGGUCGGCCUCUCCCUCUCGCCAUUG